rnacentral:tRNA from 1 species
GGGCGAUUAGCUCAGAUGGUUAGAGCGCGUCACUGAUAAUGACGAGGUCCCAGGUUCAAUUCCUGGAUUGCCCA